rnacentral:pre_miRNA from 1 species
CUGUUACUCCCUCCGUUCCAAAUUACUCGUCGCUGAAAUGGAUGUAUCUAGAACUAAAAUACAUCUAGAUACAUCCAUACGUGCGACAAGUAAUUCGGAACGGAGGGAGUACAUA